UACGGAGGGGGCUAGCGUUGUUCGGAAUUACUGGGCGUAAAGCGCACGUAGGCGGCUUUGUAAGUUAGAGGUGAAAGCCCGGGGCUCAACUCCGGAAUUGCCUUUAAGACUGCAUCGCUAGAAUUGUGGAGAGGUGAGUGGAAUUCCUAGUGUAGAGGUGAAAUUCGUAGAUAUUAGGAAGAACACCAGUGGCGAAGGCGGCUCACUGGUCCGGUACUGACGCUGAGGUGCGAAAGCGUGGGGAGCAAACAGG
rnacentral:rRNA from 1 species